GAUGAAGAACGCAGCGAAGUGCGAUAAGUAGUGUGAAUUGCAGAAUUCCGUGAAUCAUCGAAUCUUUGAACGCAAAUUGCACUCUCCGGUAUUCCGGAGAGUAUGCCUGUUUGAGGGUCGGUUAAAUAAAAAAUCGAUGUGUUGCUCUUUGGUAACAUUCGGAAUUGGGUCGUCUUAAAACCCUCUUGUGGUUUGAAGUGACCUAAAAUUUAUCAUUUCAACUCGGUAUGAUGUUACGUGAUUAAUAUUUCGUAAUACCUUUACCGGGUGCCUAUUAAGCGUAACCACUCACGAUUUGGCAUUACGCUUAUAAUAUUUUUUUCGACUAACGACCUCAAAUCAGGUAAGAGUACCCGCUGAACUUAAGCAUAUCAAUAAGCGGAGGA
rnacentral:misc_RNA from 1 species